AGUGACAAGAAGAGAAAAUGAAGAGCGUUCUGCUGCUUGUGGGGAUAGUUCUGUGUUUGGCUCUGGUGGAAGGCGGCUUAGUCAACAUGCUCUUACCAGGGCACUGUCAUUUACCAGAAGAGAUCCAUGUCGCAUGCCCUUGUGAAACCGAACGUACCUGCGAGAAUCGAAACGUGGCAAUCGCAUGCAUUAACAAAUGCGAUCUCCCUAAUAAAUGUCGGUGUAAAGAGGACCAUGUCCGGAACAAAGUGGGACUCUGUGUAAAA